GCGUAAAGGGCUCGCAGGCGGUUUCUUAAGUCUGAUGUGAAAGCCCCCGGCUCAACCGGGGAGGGUCAUUGGAAACUGGGGAACUUGAGUGCAGAAGAGGAGAGUGGAAUUCCACGUGUAGCGGUGAAAUGCGUAGAGAUGUGGAGGAACACCAGUGGCGAAGGCGACUCUCUGGUCUGUAACUGACGCUGAGGAGCGAAAGCGUGGGGAGCGAACAGGAUUAGAUACCCUGGUAGUCCACGCCGUAAACGAUGAGUGCUAAGUGUUAGGGGGUUUCCGCCCCUUAGUGCUGCAGCUAACGCAUUAAGCACUCCGCCUGGGGAGUACGGUCGCAAGACUGAAACUCAAAGGAAUUGACGGGGGCCCGCACAAGCGGUGGAGCAUGUGGUUUAAUUCGAAGCAACGCGAAGAACCUUACCAGGUCUUGACAUCCUCUGACAAUCCUAGAGAUAGGACGUCCCCUUCGGGGGCAGAGUGACAGGUGGUGCAUGGUUGUCGUCAGCUCGUGUCGUGAGAUGUUGGGUUAAGUCCCGCAACGAGCGCAACCCUUGAUCUUAGUUGCCAGCAUUCAGUUGGGCACUCUAAGGUGACUGCCGGUGACAAACCGGAGGAAGGUGGGGAUGACGUCAAAUCAUCAUGCCCCUUAUGACCUGGGCUACACACGUGCUACAAUGGACAGAACAAAGGGCAGCGAAACCGCGAGGUUAAGCCAAUCCCACAAAUCUGUUCUCAGUUCGGAUCGCAGUCUG
rnacentral:rRNA from 1 species